AUCAUCGACACUUAGACUAACACUCCUUGAGAGGACCCUAACGCACACUCACUCAUAAAGACCUCAUGGCUCUGAAUCAACAGGCACUGCAGGACUGAAAAUCUGCUCAACACCACAUGAAGAGAGGAGAUCAUCCACACUUAGGCUAACACUCCUUGAGAGGACCCUCACGCUCACUUACUCAUGAAGACAUCGUGGCUCUGAAUCAACAGGCACUGCAGGACUGAAAAUCUGCUCAACACCACAAGAAGAGAGGAGAUCAUCCACACUUAGGCUAACACUCCUUGAGAGGACCCUCACGCUCACUUACUCAUGAAGACAUCGUGGCUCUGAAUCAACAGGCACUGCAGGACUGAAAAUCUGCUCAACACCAUAAGA